CCGUAAUCUGCAUAACAAUGUAAUUAUAAUCUGCCUGAGUCUCUCCUCUGCAGUUCCUUGAGUUUCUUGCAGCAGCACCAAAUCUGCCUGCAACUCCUUUGGCAAAGGACUGGCUAGCUAAUCAGGACGAGUUGCUUUUUCAAAAGCGAAUCCAGUGUUUCAUGUCACCACGAUACGAGCCAGCUGAAAUGGACAAAUUCAAAGGUCUGGACCCAGGAACUGAUGACAUGGUGCCAUUGGAGCAGAAGUUAAAAAACCUCCACAUGACCUUUUAUGAGGAAUACAGGAUAUGUCUCCCUCUUGGCAGCCAUCUCUGGCAAGUAGAAGCAAGAGGAGGUCACACCAGGAGUACAACAUGAUGGAAUUUGACCUUCAGGUGCUUUGGGAUGAACAAUGCAGCAUUUUUGGGCUGGCAUUGAUUGACUCUGACAAGGAACUCUUAUGGUGGUGAGCACUGAUAAGGAGGUAAACACAGCAGGAGAAGACAGAGAAGAGAAAGAUUAAGUCUGACACCCCUCCACACAAUCCUUGCAAUUUUUCAUUAAAUGUAAUCGCGGUGUCUUUUCUGCAGCACACAAACACAAAUUAUUAAUGAGCCAAAGUGUUGUGAGAAAAAUGAACUAAAAAUGUAGCAAAAGACAAUUUCAGAGACAAAGCAAUAUACGGAUGAAGGAAUUUUACCAUCCAGGCACAGUGACUGAAUGGCAAAUAGAUGGCUCCAGGAAUCAGAAACAGAGAAAGUGCUGGGAUAGUGACGCUCAUAGGUUGCCAACAGAAUAUGCAGAAAACUGCCAGUCAGUCUCAUGUCUGCAUGUCUCCUUUACCCUAAGGAAAGGUAUUAUUUAUGAAUGUCAGAGUUGUUUAUGCACUGCAAAAUAACACCCAGAAUGGGUCAAAUGGAAACCUGUGGCAGAGACUGAGAUGGGAACCAUCUCAAUCUGUUUAAACUUCUGCCAAAGUCUGAGCUGGCAAGUAAUGUGAAGUGAGACGAACACUGUAAGCGAAUCCUAUUGAGAUACUUCAACAUGGUGUUCUACUGCUCUGGCUAUAUUAGAUUUUUUUGACUCCAGGUUGGUUGCUAUGGAGCUGUGUUUCUUACAUAAACGCCAAUAAAAUUGUAAUACCGUAUUGAUUUCUGGAAGACCAUUCUAUCCUGGUUUACUCAUCUUUUCAAAGGGGCCAGGCCAGGGUCAGUAGCAGAUUCAUCUACACUUCCAUCUCAAAUGAUCCAUGUCUGCAGAAGUUCUUGUCAGAAAAUUUAUGGUAAUGAGAUGCUGCUGAGCCGAAGGCACUAUACUUACAGGCUGUGAAUUUGAAAUGGGAUUUUUGCAAUUGCCCCUGGAAAUGGCAGCUCUGGUUGUUUUAUUUUCCAAGAUACAUAAUGCUCUUACAACAAAAAACACGAGAAGAUUGUAUUAACUUGCAUUUACAUAUUCAUAAUAACUUUAAUUGUAUUUUAUUUGCAUGUUUUGGCAUUUGCCAGUUGGUCUUAAAAUCCUUGACUUUUUUCAGCAGGUUUCAAUUAAUGCAUUUGGACUCUAUCUCUGUCUACUUCCUGUUUUUGUUGUUUUACUCAGUGUUUCUACAUAUUAUAUUGAUUGUGUAAGAUAUAAAAUAAGUGGUAUGCCAGUCUGUGAAAAAAGUGAAUGGAAACUGCUUCAUGACAUUAAUGAUUGUCUAUCUCAGAAUUAUUAAAUUGUUGUGUCCUUACUUGUCAAGUUGAAAUAUGAAAUAUGUUAACACAACCUAGAAAUGUAGGCUUUUACUAAAAUAAGAGGUUCAAAUGG